GAUGAACGCUAGCGAUAGGCCUAACACAUGCAAGUCGAGGGGCAGCAUAGAGUAGCAAUACUUUGAUGGCGACCGGCGCACGGGUGAGUAACACGUAUGCAACCUACCUACAUCAGGGGAAUAACCCGGAGAAAUUCGGACUAAUACCGCAUAAUACAGGGAUGCCGCAUGGCAAUAUUUGUUAAAGAUUUAUCGGAUGUAGAUGGGCAUGCGUUCCAUUAGCUAGUUGGUGAGGUAACGGCUCACCAAGGCAACGAUGGAUAGGGGAACUGAAGGGUUUGUCCCCCACACUGGAACGGAGACACGGACCAGCAUCCUACGGGAGGCAGCAGUGAGGAAUAUUGGUCAAUGGACGAGAGUCUGAACCAGCCAAAUCGCGUGAAGGAAGACUGCCCUACGGGUUGUAAACUUCUUUUGUACAGGAAUAAAAGACAUUACGUGUAAUGUAUUGCAUGUACUGUACGAAUAAGCAUCGGCUAACUCCGUGCCAGCCGCCGCAGUAA
rnacentral:rRNA from 1 species